rnacentral:rRNA from 1 species
UACGGGGGGGGCAAGCGUUGUUCGGAAUUAUUGGGCGUAAAGGGCUCGUAGGCGGUUCGUCACGUCGGGAGUGAAAACUCGGGGCUUAACCCCGAGCCUGCUUCCGAUACGGGCAGACUAGAGGUAGGCAGGGGAGAGCGGAACUCCUGGUGUAGCGGUGAAAUGCGUAGAUAUCUGGAGGAAUACCGGUGGCGAAGGCGGCAUCCUGGACCGGCAUUGACGCUGAGGAGCGAAAGCCAGGGGAGCAAACGGG